AUACUAAAGUUGCUGCAGUUAAAAAGCUCGUAGUUGGAUUUCGGUUAACGAACAAUUAGUCUACACAACAUGUGUACGAACUGGUUGAUCGUUUCCUUCUUUUCAGAUACACCUUUUUAUAGGGUGUUCUGAAUCUUUUACUUUGAGAAAAUUAGAGUGUUCAAAGCAGGCGUAACCAAGCCUUUGAAUAUAUUAGCAUGGGAUAAUGGAAUAAGACUUUUUGGCUUAUUUUCGUUGGUUCUUUAGGCCUUAAGUAAUGAUUAAUAGGGAUAGUUGGGGUCAUUAGUAUUUAAUAGUCAGAGGUGAAAUUCUAAGAUUUAUUAAAGACUAACUACUGCGAAAGCAUUUGACAAGGAUGUUUUCAUUAAUCAAGAACGAAAGUUGGGGGAUCGAAGAUGAUCAGAUACCGUCGUAGUCUCAACCAUAAACUAUGCCGACCAAGGAUUCGGGGGUGUUAUAUGAAUGACUCUCCGGGCACUUAUAGAGAAAUCACAAGUAUUUGGGUUCCGGGGGGAGUAUGGUCGCAAGGCUGAAACUUAAAGGAAUUGACGGAAGGGCACCACAAGGAGUGGAACUUGCGGUUUAAUUUGACUCAACACGGGAAAACUUACCAGGUCCAGACACAAUGAGGAUUGACAGAUUGAGAGCUCUUUCUUGAUUUUGUGGGUGGUGGUGCAUGGCCGUUUCUAGUUGGUGGAGUGAUUUGUCUGGUUAAUUCCGUUAACGAACGAGACCUUAACCUAUUAAAUAGUGACGUGAAUAUGGAUAAUUUACUUCCAAUCAUUCACGGUUUACUUCUUAGAGGGACUCUUCACGUAAAGAGUGAAUGGAAGUUUGAGGCAAAAACAGGUCUGUGAUGCCCUUAGAAGUUCUGGGCUACACGCGUGUUACACUGACAUGUUCAACAAGUUAUAAUAUUCCUUACCCGAUGGGGUUGGGUAAUCUUUUAAAUGCAUGUCGUGAUGGGGAUAGAGCAUUGUAAUUAUUGCUCUUGAACGAGGAAUUCCUAGUAAGUGCAAGUCAUUAACUUGCGCUGAUUACGUCCCUGCCCUUUGUACACACCGCCCGUCGCUCCUACCGAUGAAUGGUCCGGUGAGGAUUCAGGAUGACCUUUGGAUUUUGAUUCGUCAUGCCACUGUC
rnacentral:rRNA from 1 species